AACGCGAAGAACCUUACCUGGGCUCGAAAUGUUAUGGACCGGAGUAGAAAUAUUCCUUCCCCGCAAGGGGCCGUAAUAUAGGUGCUGCAUGGCUGUCGUCAGCUCGUGUCGUGAGAUGUUGGGUUAAGUCCCGCAACGAGCGCAACCCUUAUCUUCAGUUGCUACCAUUUAGUUGAGCACUCUGACGAAACCGCCUCGGAUAACGGGGAGGAAGGUGGGGAUGACGUCAAGUCCUCAUGGCCUUUAUGUCCAGGGCUACACACGUGCUACAAUGGCCGGUACAAACCGUCGCAAACCCGUGAGGGGGAGCUAAUCGGAAAAAGCCGGCCUCAGUUCGGAUCGUAGUCUGCAACUCGACUACGUGAAGCUGGAAUCGCUAGUAAUCGCGGAUCAGAAUGCCGCGGUGAAUACGUUCCCGGGCCUUGUA
rnacentral:rRNA from 1 species